GCUCAGGAUGAACGCUGGCGGCGUGCUUAACACAUGCAAGUCGAACGAAGAUACUUAAAAUGAGAGCUUCGGCAGGAUUUUUAUUUAUCUUAGUGGCGGACGGGUGAGUAACGUGUGGGCAACCUGCCCUAUACUGGGGAAUAAUCACUGGAAACGGUGACUAGUACCGCAUGUCAUCACGGAAGGGCAUCCUUCUGUAAGAAAAGGAGUAAUUCGGUAUAGGAUGGGCCCGCAUCUGAUUAGCUAGUUGGUGAGAUAACAGCCCACCAAGGCGACGAUCAGUAGCCGACCUGAGAGGGUGAUCGGCCACAUUGGGACUGAGACACGGCCCAAACUCCUACGGGAGGCAGCAGUA
rnacentral:rRNA from 1 species